rnacentral:misc_RNA from 1 species
AAGUCGUAACAAGGUUUCCGUAGGUGAACCUGCGGAAGGAUCAUUAAUGAUUUUUAAAGCGAGUCGAGCGUUAAGCGAGGCUUGCGAAAAUAUUUAAAACCCCACUCUUUUUAACUUUAAAAAAAUAAAUCAUGAUACAUGAAUUUAAAAAAAAGAUCACUUUCAACAACGGAUCUCUUGGCUCUC